rfam:Schistosoma haematobium scaffold569_23, whole genome shotgun sequence.
AUCCAGCUCACGAGUCCCAUAUAGGAGGAAACGUGCGUCCUGGAU